UAGCAUUUAGAGCAACAUGGACUAGAAUGGCUUGAUGAAAACAGAGCUGAUUUUGACAGGGUAAAAAAAGGUGUUUUUUACACUAUUAUUGAUAAAUUAAAAAAUAAUGUGGUAAAGUUGUUGUUAAGAUAUAACAGGUAUAAGACCCUAAAUAAUCAUAUCAACUUGUUUGGAAACUUGCAUCGGAUGAGACACUAUUACAUACGUACUACGUACACUGUUCACUGUCAGCUGCGCCACAAGAAUAAUUUUAAAUCAGUUUUUGUUCAAAAGAAUAUUCUCCAAAAUGGGGCUACGGUGAUGCAGAGACAUAGAGGAGAUGAAUUAUUGAAUAAAGUAGUUAUUUUAUUUUCAUACAAAAGUUUCAUAACAUUCAGAUUGAACCACUGAUGGAAGAUGGACUAUUUUUUCAUACUUUUCUGGACCACGAAGUGCAAUUUGUAUGUGAAUGGGUCCCAAGCCUCCCAUUUUUCAUCUAAAACAUCUUAAAUUGUGUUCUAAGGAUGAACAAAGCUUUAAUGUUUUUGGAACAACAAUGGGGAUUCAAGGGUAAUCUGUGAUUACGACUGAUAAAAGCAGCGAGGGAAGUAAUCAUCAGAAUGUGAAUUUCCAGCAUCUCUAGUCGCCUGUGUUUCAUGAUACUUCAGAAAACAUUGUAAUAUGCUAAUUUCCUGCUCAAGAAAUAUUUCUGAUUAUUAUCAAUGUUGAAAACAGUUGUGCUGCACAAUAUUUUUGUCCACAGUGUUUGCCAAAAGUUUUUCUGACGCGGCACAGUUUUGAUAUGCAAAAAAUUCCCCAUAGAAUACCACUAAGUAUUAUAAAGAAUAAUACUAAUUAUAAUAAAAAAAAAAUUUUAUUAGUAAUUAAACAUUGCAUCAUCAGAGUUGGUAUUUUGGCUUUAUAUAUGAUUUGGCAAUUAAGAUAAGAUUUAAAAGAUUUAGAAUUAAGAUUAAGAUUAAGUUUUUUAAUGACCGAAUGACAGAUAUAUUUGUCAGUUUGCAGAUUAUAAAGUUUACUGUAGCUCUAUGGGCACUCAGUUUGUCAUUUGGCCAAAAUCUCAUGUUAUAUUCUGUAAACUAUAUUCAUUCUUGAAAAAUAUGGUAAAAAUAUGAAAAAUGGUAUCUGCAAGGAUUUUCAAUCGGAAUUGAGACCAUACCACAGUACUGAGACUGCUCUCAUUAGAGUUACUAAUGACCUGCU